AACGCGAAGAACCUUACCUGGUCUUGACAUAGUAAGAACUUUCCAGAGAUGGAUUGGUGCCUUCGGGAACUUACAUACAGGUGCUGCAUGGCUGUCGUCAGCUCGUGUCGUGAGAUGUUGGGUUAAGUCCCGCAACGAGCGCAACCCUUUUCCUUAUUUGCCAGCACUUCGGGUGGGAACUUUAAGGAUACUGCCAGUGACAAACUGGAGGAAGGCGGGGACGACGUCAAGUCAUCAUGGCCCUUACGACCAGGGCUACACACGUGCUACAAUGGCGCAUACAAAGAGAAGCGACCUCGCGAGAGCAAGCGGACCUCAUAAAGUGCGUCGUAGUCCGGAUUGGAGUCUGCAACUCGACUCCAUGAAGUCGGAAUCGCUAGUAAUCGUGGAUCAGAAUGCCACGGUGAAUACGUUCCCGGGUCUUGUACACACCG
rnacentral:rRNA from 1 species